UGGUCAUACUACAGACAGAAGACUUUACCCCUGCCUGGAUUGGAGGAUUUGACGCUGUUCAGAACCGAGUGACGGCUCCAGAUUUGACUACAGGAACUGGCUCACAGGAGAACCCAAUAAUGUUGGUGGCAGAGAGCCAUGCAUGAUGAUGAACUAUGGAGGUGAAAAACGCUGGAAUGAUAUUCAAUGUGGAUCUAUAUUUCCAUCUGUGUGCUCCAAAAGGUUGUGUUAAAUCUGCCAUCAUAACAUCAACUGAACCACUUUUUUGUCAUUAAAACUGUACAGUAUUAUUGAAGAAUGUAAAUAUAUGGUAGGCCUAUAGUUUUUGUGAAUCAUAGUCGAGCAUGAGAUUUAAUUGAAGGGUGAUUUUCUAUCAUGUAAAUAGGCUGUCGUCAAAUUUUUUCAAUGAUGCUAAUCAUGUAAAAUGUCAUAGUGAAGUUUUGCUACUAAUAAAUAAUAUCC